rnacentral:rRNA from 1 species
CCAGCCGUAAACGAUGCGCGUUAGGUGUAUCGGUGACCACGAGUCACCGAGGUGCCGAAGGGAAACCGUGAAACGUGCCGCCUGGGAAGUACGGUCGCAAGGCUGAAACUUAAAGGAAUU